rnacentral:rRNA from 1 species
UACGGAGGGUGCAAGCGUUACUCGGAAUCACUGGGCGUAAAGGGUGCGUAGGCUGUUAUGUAAGUCAGGGGUGAAAUCCUACAGCUCAACUGUAGAACUGCUCUUGAAACUGCGUAACUAGAAUAUGGGAGAGGCAGAUGGAAUUAGUGGUGUAGGGGUAAAAUCCGUAGAGAUCACUAGGAAUACCGAUGGCGAAGGCGAUCUGCUGGAACAAUAUUGACGCUGAGGCACGAAAGCGUGGGUAGCAAACAGG